rnacentral:lncRNA from 10 species
GGAGCAGCUCAGCAGGAUAAUAAGCUUACUCGCCUGACCUUGGGUCUCUCUCUCAUCCUUUCUCUUGGCUAACCUUCAUUUUGGUGCCAAAACCCAGGAAGGGGAUAGGCUCUGGCUGGGCGUCCUUAGAGGAUUCUCUCUCUCUCUCUCCUAUCAUCCCUUACCCAGCCAACCUCCCCUUCCCGAACCUGCUAAAGACCCUAAGGAUCUCCCAAAAUUCUCCCAUUGUUGGCCACCUCAUCCACCAUCAAAGCCUCUGAGAGGGGUUUUUACAGGGCCGUGUUAGAGCCUUCACCCAUGGAACAGUACAAGACAUGAUGCUACUCCGAGAAUACCGACAGCUCCAGGAACAGCAGUCCCUACUACCCAGCCUCUCCCCCCAACCAUCGCCCCUAUCCAGCAAGAAGCAGCCAGAGGACAACGGCGCCCCUCUUCUAUUACCUAUUAAAAGGCUGGAAUGUUAGGAACAAGUUGCACCAGAACCCCUCCCCCUUCCCACCCGCCCCCGCACCCCCCCCCCCCCACCCAAUGCAGCUGUCCCUUACCCUGAAUACUCUGCAGCUGCAUUCCUGGACCCUUAUCUAGGCACUACAGCAAGGUCACCAGACUUGCUUACAGCCCUACGGGCAGCAUGGGGGAGGUCACGAGAAACGUGGAUAAACCUAAGUUACACCCUCUUGUAAAUUCCUAUAUUGUAACCUGGUCACGAGAUGAUAUGUGGUAAGGUUAACCAACAAACAACCCCAGGGUCUCUCUCCCC